AAAUAUUUUCCCAAAAUAUUCAUUUCCUGCUUCUCUCUCCUUACUCUUCUCUGGUUAUUGUAACCUAACUCCAAUUUCCCGCUUAUCUCUCUUCCCCUCUAUGGUUUCUCUCCUUCCCCUCUCUGUUUCUUCUCUGGGUGCGAAAUUCAGACUCACAACACUCACUACAUAGGCACACAGCUGUUCCCCCACCGCCGAGCUGUCGCUGUUGUCUCCCACCGCCGAGUUGCCGCUGUUGUCUCCCACCGCCGAGUUGCCGUUGUUAUUCCCCCACCGCCGCGUCGCUCCUCCUUAUCUCUUUUCCCCGGAACCAGCAAAGAGAGGCUGUUCUCCACCUCCACAGGCUAAAAAGGCUUCUCGCCCUAGGUAAACUGUUGUUAUAUUAGUUUGAUCAAUAGAUGCAUUUUUGUGAAAUUGAUUUUCCUUUCUGAUUUUCUUGGGCAAUGUCUUACUGGUAGCUUUGCUUGUUGUGGCUACCUUUUUAUGCCCUUUGGAAAAUACUUACAAUAGUUUGUUCUUGAUCUCUUUGCUGGACUUUUUUGUAAUGAGAGUACGAGACCGUUCACCAGUGUAAUGAGAGUACGAGACCAUUGACCGUUCACCAGGUUCUUUUCAUGUUUUAUACUUUUAUGCAGUGAAGAGAAUAAGGGCUUCUGAUUUCAACCCACACAAUACCAGCCAUUUGAACUGGUGAUAAGCACAAGUUAUUCUGAAAAAACAAAAACAAAAGCAAAAUUACAAGGGGGAAAAAGAACAACUUCAGAUGCUAAAUGUUAGAUACUUUGACCUAUGUUAAACCAGGUGUAUAAAAAAAACUAAGCCAUGUGUGUUACAUAGUAGGCAAGUUCUGCAUAGGUCAUGAUGUAUGGUAGUGUAGUCACAAACCCAACCAGAUAUUAUAGAGAUGCAAGAAAGUGUGACUAUUUUAUCUGUGGAUGCAUGCUAAUGCUCUGAUUACUUGAUCCUUCUUUACUGGCAUCGUGUUGGGAGGAUUAGUUCAAUUCUUUUGAUUAGGACACUGAGACAACUCCAUAUUUCGAGUCUAUUGUUUAAAGAUUUAUGAUUGAUGUUUUUAAGUGAGCAAUGAAAAGUGCUCUUUAUAUUCUUUUCAAUUCCUUCAUAAUUAGUUAUUUUUUUUCACCUCAAACAAUUGGUUUACAUUUUUCAUUGAUUCAAUAAGUUUCAUAAUGAAACUACUGCAGCUUGCAGGAAGUAUGGACCGUGGGUUGCAAGGAAUCCUACUCUUGUUCUGUGCUCCUCAAUUACUUUAGUUCUUAUUCUUUGCUUGGGUUUACUAUGUUUCUGGGUCGAGACUCGACCUGAGAAGGUCUGUUAGCAUCCGGUUCUCCCCUUUACAUCAAUUGUACAGGAUCACAAAUGUUAAAUUCUGGACUAGUUUGUCAAAGAACAUGAAUAGAUGCAAAAGCUUCGUACUCCACAUCAACGAAAGAUUUGUAUCUCUCAUGCUCCGGACAUAGGGACUCUACUUAGUAGAAAUUGAAGACAAAAUAAAGGAUCCAACCUUAAUUAGUAAAUGUUGUAGUGUAACAUAAUGGUGUAGAAUUAUGUGAAUUUUUGUGAUACUUGGCAUUCAUGUUUGCAAACUGAAGUUGAGUGGGUCCCUAUUUUCAGGUUAUAUAGUAAAUGAUAUUCAUGGAAUCAUGUGGUUGUAGUGCGUUCUAUUAAAGCCUAAAACCAACUUUCAUCAUGUACUGCUACGCUUCACAUGUUUUGUGUUUCUAUACUGCUGCGCUGCAUUCUGAUCUGAUCUUAUUCCUCUUUUCUGAUCUGUACUGAUGCUUACUGAUAUGCAUCAAUGUUUUACUGACCUGCACGGCUGCUGCAUACUUCUCUGCAUGUUGAUCUGCACGGGUGCUGCAUCAUUAAGGUGGUUAAGUAUUAAGGCUAUUCUUUCGGGAGUACGAAGUAUUGUAGAGGUUGUUGUUGCAUUGCUAAAGGUUGUAUUUCCUCUUUCUAUUGACAAUACAAGAAACUGGCAAUCGACAAUCAAAUAUGAUUCUGACAAAAAUGCUGAAGGUGGAAAAGAUUUUUCACAGUCCAGAAAGCUUAUGAAUUCUUGCAGCGUGCAUGUACUUCUUGAAUAUAUUUUUUUAAUCUACUACACAUAUGAUGAUCAUAUUUCCUUUUCAA